AGCCCGGUAGUGUAGUGGUCAAUCAUGGAGGCCUCUGGAGCCUCUGACGGGAGUUCGAAUCUCCUCCGGGCUACCA
rnacentral:tRNA from 1 species